rnacentral:rRNA from 1 species
AGUGAACGCUGGCGGUAGGCCUAACACAUGCAAGUCGAACGGCAGCACAGUAAGAGCUUGCUCUUACGGGUGGCGAGUGGCGGACGGGUGAGGAAUACAUCGGAAUCUACUUUUUCGUGGGGGAUAACGUAGGGAAACUUACGCUAAUACCGCAUACGACCUACGGGUGAAAGCAGAGGAUCUUCGGACCUUGCGCGAUUGAAUUAGCCGAUGUCGGAUUAGCUAGUUGGCGGGGUAAAGGCCCACCAAGGCGACGAUCCGUAGCUGGUCUGAGAGGAUGAUCAGCCACACUGGAACUGAGACACGGCCCAGACUCCUACGGGAGGCAGCAGUGGGGAAUAUUGGACAAUGGGCGCAAGCCUGAUCCAGCAAUACCGCGUGAGUGAAGAAGGCCUUCGGGUUGUAAAGCCCUUUUGUUGGGAAAGAAAAGCAGCAUGUUAAUACCCCGCUGUUCUGACGGUACCCAAAGAAUAAGCACCGGCUAACUUCGUG